rnacentral:pre_miRNA from 10 species
CUGCGUCUUCAGCAUCUAAUGGCUGCAAUCAACAUUCAUUGCUGUCGGUGGGUUUUCUUUUCUGUCAACUCACUGAUCAAUGAAUGCAAACUGCGGACCAGCCAGCUCGGAGAGCGCAGC